AGAAUUGGCCAUCGAACCAAUCAGCUCGUGGGAGACGGUUUGGCAAGCAUCUCAGUGAAAUGACACAUAUAAUUUAGAGCCCGUUUGUACCGUUCUGAGAAGGAAGCCCCACACACUCUUGUAUGCGAUAUUACGUUUUUUGACAUCGAGUGAGCGUGGAGGAAGGAAAAUGUGAGAGCUGAGGGACUCAAACAAACAGCGAUGUUGUGGUUUCCUCAGGAAGGAGGUCGGUCCAGUUCAGACCAGCUCUGGUGAACUCUGAUCCUGUAAUUGUAGUCUGCAAAGAGCCGGUGGGAAAUGUAAUCCAACAUUCCUGAUUAAUCAGUGGCUCCAUCAAAACUGAAAGACUUCAAGUAUAAACCGAUAAAAGGGAUGAACAUCAUUAUAAAAACCCAAGAAGUGUAAUUUAACAAUUGACCAUAUGAAAGAAUACA
ensembl:lncRNA